UUUUUUGUACAUAUCGCAUUUCAACUAUUUUGACAUGAAAUUUUAUACACACAUGAAUCACAUCCUUAUUUAGUUGUAUAUUGUUUCCGUGAAGGCCGAGUUCCAAAACGCCAUUGUCAACAAGAUGUCGUCGACAUAUUUCUAUGAUUUCUAACAUCGUUUGUAGGCAAAGAACGUUGAGCUAAUCUCCGUAAGAACACCUUUAGUCUGGAUAAGACAUUAGUUUUCCAAAGUUGGGUCCAACUCCUCUGUUCUUGGAAGUGUCAGCACGACCCUCAAGCCAUGUUUCUCUAUUAAUUUUAUUUGUAACCAGCAUUUUAUAGGUCGAUCGUAUUAAAAAAAUCCUUUCUUUCAUGCCCCCAUGCCCCAUGCCCAGAGAUCAUCCAUCUAAAGUGUACUUAAUGGAAUAUUUAGGAACAAGUCUGUUCAAAAGGUAGAAACGCUUCUAUGACCUUUUGCUUGUACCACCUUGCCACAGUCUAUUGAUUGAUGCAGAGGCCGGGGGUUGAACUUCCUUUUUCUUUUUAAAACUUGGGGCAGUCUCAACAAUCAGCUCGCUAGCCAUUUGUGGACGGUCAGCAAACCAUGCAAGCGAUAGGCCGCAUGAUGUGUGCUCUAGGUAACCAGAUCUACUGCCAAAUGUCAUUGUGCUUGCCAUCUCCAAUUCGAUGAAUCAAACCGUUUGUGAAUACAUCCUUUCCCUGAUUCCCUCCAUUAUAGCUCUACAAAUCUGAGAGGGCUGGUUGCCUAGCUGUGUCUCUAGAAAAUCAGACGAAGGCAAAUAUCUUGCUCAAAAUGUUUGCGCUAAGAGUGACCGGGGACUGCAAGAUACGCCCCAGCGUAGAUUACAUACUUGGCCACCCAUAUAAGAGAUAUAGUUCAACUUUUUUCCCACCCGGGUUUGCGAACAUUCUAGAAUCCUUUGCUCAUGUUUUUUGGGUUUCCUUUCGGUUCUACCCUUUUCCUUUUUCUUUCUUUAUUUCAUUUUUAUUUUAUCAUCUUCUUUUGUUUUUCCAUUAUUGGCAAAUUUUUCCAAGUCCAUGAACUUUGUGUUAAGUUCAUGAUUUUUCUUAAAUCGAUGAACUUUUUUCAAAUUCAUGAACUAUUUCUAAUGCACGAACUUUUCCUAAAUUUGUGAACUUUUGGAAAUUCAUGAAGUUUUUCUAAUGCAUGAAUUUUUUAAAUUCGUGACUUGCGUUUCAAAUCGAUGCACCUUUUUGAGAUUUAUCAUACUUUUUCAAAUUCAUGAAAUUCUAAUGCAUGCUUUUUUCUUUCAAAUUCAUGAAAAUAUUCCUGAACUUUGUCAUAUUCAUGAACUUGGUUAGAUUUUUGAAAUGUCCAUCAUCAAACAUUAGUGCUCAAGUGGCGGUGCGAGGAUUCAAACCUUGUGAUGUCAAGAUUUACUAAAAAAUACCUGUAAAAAGAGUUUUACUAAAAAACUAACAGGAAAAGAGCAUAUGUUAUUACAAACAUAUUUAUGGUAACAAUCCUUUGCGACUGUCCAUAUUUUGAUAGGUAUGCAUAAUAGGAUCGUGCUAAUAGAUUGAAUUACAUUGGUUUCAACAUAAGUAUGAUAAGAUAAUGAUACAUAAAUCAUCGUCUAUUUAUUCUAUAAAUCAUAUUUGAUAUAUUUUAUUGUGGGGAAAAGGAUAUCUCAGUUGUUAAUUUUUUUUACGAUCAAGUACAGGGUUUUUAUUCCAUAAUAACACAGUUACAAUCUUCAGCGAUUAAAUAGCUAAUGCAUGGGGAAGGAUGGCCCAACCAACAUACUGUGCUAUCACCACAAAAUCACUAGUAGAUUCACCAAUACAUAUACUAAAGGAAAAUUGGCAUUACUGAAGACCCGAGAUAUUUAUCCAUUUAUCUACUGAAGAUCUGUCAAAACAAGAUAUUGCUAAGGAAAACGAC
rnacentral:lncRNA from 1 species